UGGGGAAUAUUGGACAAUGGGGGCAACCCUGAUCCAGCCAUGCCGCGUGCGUGAAGAAGGCCUUAGGGUUGUAAAGCGCUUUCACUGGUGAAGAUGAUGACGGUAGCCAGAGAAGAAGCCCCGGCUAACUCCGUGCCAGCAGCCGCGGUAAUACGGAGGGUGCGAGCGUUAAUCGGAAUUACUGGGCGUAAAGCGUACGCAGGCGGUUUGUUAAGCGAGAUGUGAAAGCCCCGGGCUCAACCUGGGAACUGCAUUUCGAACUGGCAAACUAGAGUGUGAUAGAGGGUGGUAGAAUUUCAGGUGUAGCGGUGAAAUGCGUAGAGAUCUGAAGGAAUACCGAUGGCGAAGGCAGCCACCUGGGUCAACACUGACGCUCAUGUACGAAAGCGUGGGGAGCAAACAGGAUUAGAUACCCCGGUAGUCC
rnacentral:rRNA from 1 species